ensembl:lncRNA
CAUCAUUAGGUUGUACUGAAAACAGGCAGCAUUCGAACGAUGUAGUAUGGGAUUUGUAGUUAAGCUUCUGAUACUGGAAUUUCCACUGCCAUUGAAAACAGACACUGCUGUGUCCAUAGGUUUCAGGAGAUAAGUACACAAAGCAAGCCUCCUGCUUCUUUCAGUUCUAAGGCACACAUCUACAGUGAGAGGUAGCUGAAUUGUCCCUGGUUUGGGAUCCUAAAAUGUGAGUUUAAUCCACAGUAACGCACAUCACAAGGGAGAAACAAAGGAGAGUGGCGUUGGCCUGUGCUCCUCCCCUCUUCGUGCUGCUGAAAAAGGCAGCCUGAAAGAGAAACAAGAAGUCUCAAGUCAGGAAGCUGCUUCAUUUGCUGCUUAGAAUGGCCCAGUUCAGCUCUCCAGUCUGCUUAGAAGAUGGACAGGGCAUCUGAAUUUCUGCAUUUGUUAGAUGAAUGCAUUUGUGAUGAAACAACAAAAAUCACUGUCUUCCCUGCACGUGGAGCAGGCAAAAGAGCAGAAGAAGCAGCAGCUGCAGGACACAGCAAACCCUGAGCACUGUAUCAAUG